GUACUCGCUUUGGCGGUACAUAUACUAAAAUUGGAACGAUACAGAAAAGAUAAGCAUGGCUCCUGUGCAAGGAUCAAAACUCGCCAGAUACAUUGCUUGCUA
rnacentral:snRNA from 1 species